rnacentral:lncRNA from 1 species
GUGAAUAGAGGCCAUUUUACCGCUCAUCAUAUUGGUGUCACCUCGGUAUUUGGCCAAGCCGCAGGCUCCCCUAAGCAACAAACAUCACGGUUGCCUGCGAAAGGCAACAAUCACGACCUACUACGCACGCGCAAGGGGGGGAGGGACUGCAUGCUAAUGGGCUCUCCGGAAUGUAGUGAAUAUGUAUCCAAAUUCCUGUCCACUAUUGAUUAUGUAUUAGUUCGACCUAUAUCUAUAGAACGAUUUCUCCUGACGGUGUGCAAGUUAGGUGGAACGAUCCCCCUUGCACCAGGGUGUACGCGUGUCACCAAUAAACACAUGCCUGCUCUAUAUCCU